CCUACAUGCUAGUUGCUAGCGACCGCACGAGAGGCAGUGCAACUGUCAGUGCAAGUUGUCAACAUGUUCGGCAUUUGUUGUUCCUGGCACACGAGACUGAAUGUGGUUUGAGUGAUGUAACAUGAGAGCGCAUGGCUCGGGCCUGAGACACAGCGACCACAAACACUCUCAUGUACAGAGUGAUGAUGAUGCCGAGAGGAAGGAUAAAGGUCACAAUGAGGUCGAGAAUCCCUCCUCCAACGUCAAUAUUAAUGACACACUCUCCAAAGCAGGAACUACACAUUGGCGGAUGAGCCAGUUGAUCCUUCAAAAUGAUGCUACACAGGAGCAGAGCAAAGAACCAACAAAGACAAACGCAAAGUUGAACUCUUUUUACAGUGACUCUGGUGUUAUAAUGCAGGGGAUCACAAAUAGCCACAUAACGGUCGGCUGAUAUCAGCACCAUGUUUCCCACCGAAGCAGACGUCACGAUGAAGGAGACAUAGUUAUACAACAAGCACGGAACAUCACCAAAGGCCCAGCAGGAUGCUUGCAAGUAGAUCUCUCCAGGCAUCACCAGGAGGCCCACCAGAAAGUCAGAGACAGCCAGAGAGAGGAGAAGAAGGUUGGUGGGAGUGUGGAGCUGCCUGGAAACAAGGAAGAAAUAAAGAAAACAACGGAUGUCCUAAGUGGACUAAAGAAAUGUAACAAGAUAAACGUCACACACGCUACUCACGACACAAUAGAAAAAUGUUGCUGUGAGCCUUGGAAGAGAAUAAGUGCCUGAAAUGGGAGAUUGAGAUGAUGACCAGCAGGUUGAGAACCGCAGUGAGGAUGCAGAUGAUGGACAGCAGAACACUGAAAAAAACACCUUCCGACUGAUGAGAUUUUGGCUUCUUGCAGGAGAUGUUGAUGAGUUGUGGAAAGCAGAGCUCUGGUUGGUCCUCAGUCUCCAUCACGAAGAAUAAGAGAGGAGAAGCCGGAGCUCUGACAGCUUUCUCUCUAAGCCUCUGUUCCACGUCCCAUUUAUGUCUUCAAGAGCCAAGAUCUGACCCCUCGUACCUCCCAUAAGCUAACCUUAUUGGUCAAUGUUUCUUCAGAUAAAAUGUCAUGAUGAACAUUUAUGAAUAUUAAAAAUUGUAAUUCUUUGCUUGGUUUGUAAAUGGUGGUUAACAGCAAAGAAGAAAAAACUACUUAAUUUUUCCACAUUUGAUAAAAACUAGAAAUUGA